rnacentral:rRNA from 1 species
GACGAACGCUGACGGCGUGGAUUAGGCAUGCAAGUCGAACGAGAAAUUCCCCGCUUGCGGGGAAAAGUACAGUGGCGAACGGGUGAGUAACGCGUAGGUAUCUGCCUCAUAGACUGGGAUAGCCCCGGGAAACCGGGGGUAAUACCGGAUAUGUUUUACGAAACAAAGGUGGCCUCUGUUUACAAGCUGCCGCUAUGAGAUGAGCCUGCGUCAUAUUAGCUUGUUGGUAGGGUAAUGGCCUACCAAGGCGAUGAUGUGUAGCCGACCUUAACGGGUGACCGGCCACACUGGGAUUGAGAUACGGCCCAGACUCCUACGGGAGGCAGCAGUCGAGAAUAGUCUACAAUGGGGGAAACCCUGAUAGUGCGACGCCGUGUGUGCGAUUAAUUCCUUCGGGAUGUAAAGCACUUUUCUAUGAGAUAAAAGCUCUUUAGAUUAAUAGUUUAUUGAGACGGAUAUUAUUAUAGGAAUAAGCUCCGGCUAACUCCGU